rnacentral:lncRNA from 1 species
GUACUUAAACAUUGAAAAUUAAUUUAUAAUUAAAUGAAAAGUGACAUCAUCCCUCUGACUUCACAGACCUUCCUCCUCCCAGUCUGACAGUGAGGCCUGCAGUCAUCAAAGAGAGAGACUCAGUUCAGCUGAGUUGUGAGACUCCUCCAUCUUUCCGUGUGUCUCACUGUUACUUCUACAUAAAAGGGACGAAGAAUCUUCCAGACUCAUCCUGUAUUCAGACAAUAACAGGAACAGAGCUGCUCAAGAGGGCAGAUCAAACGUUUCCAGAUGUGGUCAAAGUGACGUGUUACUAUGCUGUAGUGAGUUCUCCCACAUCUCCUUUAAGUGACCCUGUCUCAGUCACUGUUCAGGAUCCACCUCCUCCCAGGCUAACAGUCAAUUCUACAGUCAUCAGAGAGAGAGACUCAGUUCAGCUGAGCUGUCAGACUCCUCCAUCUGUCUCUGUGUCUCAGUGUUACUUCUACACAGAGGGGAGAGAUCCUAAACCCUCACCCUGUACGAGUUCACUAACGGGGACUGAGCUGCUCUCGUGGGCAGGUCAAAGUUCAUCUGCUGAGAUCAAACUGAGAUGUUUUUACACAGUAGAAACUCACUAUACAUCGACGCACAGUGGUUCUGUCUCUGUUACUAUUCUUGAGCCACUUGAUUUCCUGUGGCGUCACAUCCUCACUGUGUUGGUCCUACUGGCUACUUGUGGAGUACUUAUACACUAUGUCAUCUCCCAUCAAUGCCCAAACGCUGUUCCAAAGAGAAGCAGGAGGGUGGACCAGAGAAAUGAAGACUUUUCGUUGACAGUGUGCUAA